GGCUCAGGACGAACGCUGGCGGCGUGCUUAACACAUGCAAGUCGAACGAGGUCCAAGCGUUAGCAAUAACGUGGAAGAUCUAGUGGCGAACGGGUGAGUAACACGUGAGGAACCUACCCCGGACUCAGGGAUAACAGACGGAAACGUUUGCUAAUACCUGAUGCCGUCGGAGCAUCACAUGGUGCACUGACGAAAGAAUCUCGGUUCGGGAGGGCCUCGCGGCCUAUCAGCUAGUUGGUGGGGUAACGGCCUACCAAGGCAUCGACGGGUAGCUGGUCUGAGAGGAUGAUCAGCCACACUGGGACUGAGACACGGCCCAGACUCCUACGGGAGGCAGCAGUGGGGAAUCUUGCGCAAUGGGCGAAAGCCUGACGCAGCAACGCCGCGUGCGGGAAGAAGGCCUUAGGGUUGUAAACCGCUUUCAGUAGGAACGAAAAUGACGGUACCUGCAGAAGAAGGUGCGGCCAACUACGUGCCAGCAGCCGCGGUGACACGUAGGCACCAAGCGUUGUCCGGAUUUAUUGGGCGUAAAGAGCUCGUAGGCGGUUGAGUAAGUCGGGUGUGAAAACUCUGGGCUUAACCCAGAGCCGCCACCCGAUACUGCUCUGACUUGAGUUCGGUAGGGGAGCAGGGAAUUCCUAGUGUAGCGGUGAAAUGCGCAGAUAUUAGGAGGAACACCGGUGGCGAAGGCGCUGCUCUGGGCCGAAACUGACGCUGAGGAGCGAAAGCGUGGGUAGCAAACAGGAUUAGAUACCCUGGUAGUCCACGCCGUAAACGUUGGGCACUAGGUGUGGGUUCCAACCAACGGAAUCCGCGCCGUCGCUAACGCAUUAAGUGCCCCGCCUGG
rnacentral:rRNA from 1 species